rnacentral:rRNA from 1 species
CCCAGACUCCUACGGGAGCCAGCAGUGAGGAAUAUUGGUCAAUGGCCGAGAGGCUGAACCAGCCAAGUCGCGUGAGGGAUGACGGCCCUACGGGUUGUAAACCUCUUUUGCCGGGGAGCAAAGAGCGGGACGCGUCCCGCCUCGAGAGUACCCGGAGAAAAAGCAUCGGCUAACUCCGUGCCAGCAGCCGCGGUAAUACGGAGGAUGCGAGCGUUAUCCGGAUUUAUUGGGUUUAAAGGGUGCGUAGGCGGAUCGUUAGGUCGGGGGUAAAUUGGGGGGCCCAACCCCCUCCCCGCCAUUGAAACUGGCGCUCUUGAGUGGAAGAGAAGUAUGCGGAAUGCGUGGUGUAGCGGUGAAAUGCAUAGAUAUCACGCAGAACUCCGAUUGCGAAGGCAGCUUACUAAACUAUAACUGACACUGAAGCACGAAAGCGUGGGGAUCAAACAGGAUUAGAUACCCCAGUA